rnacentral:lncRNA from 1 species
GUCAGGGUUCCAUAGCCGCAGGCAGAACAGUUGAAAAUGGAGCAGCAGCACGGCCAGGUGGACUGGGGACAGCAAGGAGUCAUCAUGCCAGGUAGUCCUGAGGCAUGGUCCUAGGGCUCAGGUCCUCCGAGAGAAAGAAAGAAAGAAAGAGAGAAAGAGAGAAUUAGAGAGAGCAUAUUUAAAUUCACACAGGACACCGGAUAAGACAAGAGAAAUACUCCAGAUGUAACAGACUGACCCUAGCCCCCCGACACAUAAACUACUGCAGCAUAAAUACUGGAGACUGAGACAGGAGGGAUCAGAAGACACUGUGGCCCCAUCCGGUGAUACCCCCGGACAGGGCCAAACAGGCAGGAUAUAACCCCACCCACUUUGCCAGAGCACAGCCCCCACACCACUAGAGGGAUGUCUCCAACCACCAACUUACCGUCCUAAGACAAGGCCGAGUAUAGCCCACAAAGAUCUCCGCCACGGCACAAGUCAUGUGAAUUUCUAAACAUUCUGAUACAACUCCAUAUUUCCUAGGUCAUAAAGACAGAUAAACUAUAAACAGGCAUGGCAUACGUAACUGUACAGCUUAUAACUGGACAUUCAUUUCCUUAUAACACAUUGGAGAGUGCAGUAAAUGUAACUCACAAGGAAAGAUAAUCAAAUUGAGCUUUCAUUGUUGUGUUAUCUUGUCCUAUUGAUGACAUUACCUGCAAAAAUAGUGAUUUGCAUAGCUGCACCAUAGCUGCAUUACAAGCUUCUUGUUAGAUGGUUGAAUAAGCAAAAAUGUGUCAAUGCACCCAAUUUUUUUCACAAACCAACAAUGGGGUUUCAUGGUUUGCUUUAUCUGUAAUUGAAGUAACUCAAAUCGAAACAAAAAUAGGCUGUACAAACUUUUGCUAACUUUAGCUAUCGCUAGCUAACAAUCAACGGUAGUGAAAGGAGCAACCGGAUUCAUUUUUUAACCUUUUACUGCAGUGGGCUAAAUCAGGGUCACACAAAGUGAUUAUUGGUAGUCAAACAAAUCUACUUUGAAACAAAAGUAUAAAGCUCACACACAUGGUUAUGGGUUAAAAAGAACCUGUACCAUGUCAGAUAUAGAGGUGAAAUGUAUUCCAUUUUGAGUUUGCAUCUCAAUAUUACAUCACAGAAGACUGAAAUAUAGCAGAACUGUUACAAACACCGGUUUUUCGUUGGGUAUUUGGAAAUAAUCUUUAUUAAUUAUUAAAUGAUGAAAAAUAUUAAUAACAUUCCACCCAUGAGGCCAAAGAGGGUGCUUUUGGUCAUUGACUGCAGGAAAGGGCUACAUGGCUAAAUCACUCCAAGUAAACUUAAACCAAAUAAUGAGUUGAUUUCAGUUAAUUUGUCAAUUAGAUUUUUUUAAUUGCACUUUUAACCCUAUCACUCCCACUGAUUUUUAGCUAGCGGUGGCUAAAAUUAGUUGCUUGUAGUUACUAUUUAACGAAAACCGAACAAAGGAUUAUAGUUUCUCUUGGCCCAUAGACUACUUUCAGGGUGAGGAACCAUCUAACACUAAGAUAUAAAAUCCUGAACGGAACAACAUUUCAAGGUGCAUUCCAUGAACUGCAUUUACAAAUAUGCAUAUACAGUACAUUGCGAAAUUAAUAUAAAAUGGAAAAAUAUUUCAAGCUGCAUUCUAAAGUCCAUUCUAAAACAAUAUAAGAGUAUUUAAAAUAUAUAAUACCACACUUACCCUGUAAGCUCAACCUCCAACGCUCCAUGACGCUACAAGCUUGGCACACCUGUAUUUUGGGAGUUUCUCCCAUUCUUCUCUGCAGAUCCUCUCAAGCUCUGUCAGGUUGGAUGGGGAGCUAUUUUUAG